rnacentral:rRNA from 1 species
GCGCCAGACUCCUACGGGAGGCAGCAGUGGGGGAUAUUGCACAAUGGGGGCAACCCUGAUGCAGCGACGCCGCGUGAGCGAUGGAGUACUUCGGUAUGUAAAGCUCUGUCAGCAGGGAAGAGAAUGACGGUACCUGACCAAGAAGCCCCGGCUAAAUACGUGCCAGCAGCCGCGGUAAUACGUAUGGGGCAAGCGUUAUCCGGAUUUACUGGGUGUAAAGGGAGCGCAGGCGGCGCGUUAAGCCUGGUGUGAAAGCCCGCGGCCCAACCGCGGGACUGCAUUGGGAACUGGCGCGCUGGAGUGCCGGAGGGGUAGGCGGAAUUCCUAGUGUAGCGGUGAAAUGCGUAGAUAUUAGGAGGAACACCAGUGGCGAAGGCGGCCUACUGGACGGUGACUGACGCUGAGGCUCGAAAGCGUGGGGAGCAAACAGGAUUAGAUACCCCCGUACA